GGUAGCCAGAGAUGAUGACUCCUCUCUGUGACUGUUUUUCCUUGCUUCAAGGAACCUAAGUUUAUCAACAGUAAAAUUCAAUGGAAUCCUUGAGAGUCUGAUAUCAGGUGAAAGUGUCCCUUCUCUGGAAUCAGGACCUAUAGUUAGAAGUACAGAGAUUUGCAUGGGAUGGGGGGAUGGAGAGAAGGACGGAUUAUUAAGCAUGAAUGGGAAUGAGAGUAAGCAAGGAUGCAUGGAAAACUCCAUUAGGCACUUAAGACAAAUGAAACCUGAAGGUGAAGGCCACUCACUCUGCUAUAGGUCAACUAUUGUCUUUGAAUGAAGAUCUCCUGUUCAUUUAGGCAGAAAAUUCUAAGUGCCAUUCAACACUGCUCCUCUCAGGUGUGCAGCAGAAAUGAAUAUGAUAUGAAGAAUCAAGUUUCAUUUCUCAGCUUCUGCCACAUACAGCUAGAUUAAUAUUACUGUAUCUACAUCUGCUGAAAAAGGAUUACAUAAAAAAUUCAAAUCUGUGGAGAAAUUCUAUGAGAUCAGCAUUGAACAGGUUCAAUUUAAGAAGCCUCACAGGAAAUGGACACUGGAACCAGGAGGUGAUGAUAGCCCUUAUGAUCCAGAAAUUAGGUUCUUAUAUGUUCAUAGAACUACUUAUUGGCUGACUAAAAGAAUGAAAACAUGAAAGAC